rnacentral:rRNA from 1 species
AACGAACGCUGGCGGCAUGCCUAACACAUGCCAGUCGAACGAGACCUUCGGGUCUAGUGGCGCACGGGUGCGUAACGCGUGGGAACCUGCCCUUAGGUUCGGAAUAACUCCCCGAAAGGGGUGCUAAUACCGGAUAAUGUCUGCGGACCAAAGAUUUAUCGCCUUUGGAUGGGCCCGCGUUGGAUUAGCUAGUUGGUAGGGUAAAAGCCUACCAAGGCGACGAUCCAUAGCUGGUCUGAGAGGAUGAUCAGCCACACUGGGACUGAGACACGGCCCAGACUACUACGGGAGGCAGCAGUGGGGAAUAUUGGACAAUGGGCGAAAGCCUGAUCCAGCAAUGCCGCGUGAGUGAUGAAGGCCUUAGGGUUGUAAAGCUCUUUUACCCGGGAUGAUAAUGACAGUACCGGGAGAAUAAGCUCCGGCUAACUCCGUG